GUUGUCGGGAAGUAUAACUUGAAGACUUCAGAUUACCCUCCAAUGGGCUGGAGGGGGAGAUUGUUGGAUCCAGCCCAAAUUGGAGGCCAAACCCAAUUGGAACCCAAGCCCAAGAAGAAAGCCCAAGCCCAUUUGUUGCCAAGCCCAAGCCCAUGACCAAUCUUUCUUCUUUCUCUAAAUGAGAAUGGAAAGGAAGAAGAAAGAAAGACAGACAAAGAAGCUGCUGCGGCGCUGCGAAGAAGUCAAGAAUGGAGGCAGGCAGCUAGUCAAGAAUGGAGGCAGAGAAUGGCCGAAAGAAGAGCUGAGAAAGUCUUCUAUUGAGGCUAGAAUUUCUCCUAUAAAUAGGAACCCAGGGAGAAAGGAAAAAAUACGCAGAGAAAUGUAAGGGG
rnacentral:lncRNA from 1 species